UGGGAUUAUUUGAGCUGACCUUUGAUUGUAUUAGGAAUUUAGGAUGCUUGCAGCUUUUCUUGUAAUAACUGAGGAGUUUCAUUGCCUUAAGUUCUUUCUUCUCAUUUUUUUAUUAUAGGGAAUUUUUCCUUCUCAGUAUAUCAUAACAUAAAUGUAACAUUCUGCAGCUUGACGGGCUCUAGUAAAGUUGUGGUUUGUAACAUUCAUGUUCUUUACAAUCCUAACAGGGGAGAAAUUAAACUUGGUCAGGUUCGAGUGCUGCUUGAUAAGGCUAAAGCUGUUUAUAAACUCUGGAAUGACACCCCUGUAGUUAUCUGUGGGGAUUUUAAUUGUACUCCCAAGAGUCCAUUAUAUAACUUUAUAUCAGAACAGAA